CGCAGGUGAUAGUGCCGAUGUACUAACCAGCCUCAUAAGCUGUGUUUGGGUGGGUUUGACUCCCACACCUGCACCCA
rnacentral:tRNA from 1 species